rnacentral:misc_RNA from 1 species
CUUUCAUUUUAUGUUGGGAAGAACAAUUUCCACCAAUUUUUUUUCUUGUAUUGAUAGCACACAAUUAAAGUCUCCCACUAGAACACAAUUAUUUCUAACAGCAGCUUUAUAAUACAAUUGAAAUUGGGAUCGUCGAAUUUCAUCAUCACAACUAGCGUAGAUAAGUAUGAGAUCCCAUUCAAGAUUAGAGUGUGCAUCCAAAAUUCGACAGUGCAAGAAGAAGUAGUAAGUAUGCAAAUUUGUUACCUUAGUAACAUCAGUCCAGGCCACACAAAGGCCUCCUGCAAGACCCUAAGGAUCCACACAUUGUAGGUUGUAGAAACCAAUCUUGUUCAGUUUCCUUUUCACCAAAUGAGUAGAAUUCUUCAUCUCCAUUAGGAACAAGAGAUCAAUCUGCUGUUGACUAUGAAUUUUUUGCAGCUUGUGAAUUGUCAAGGGGUUUAACAAUCGUUGACAAUUCUAAGAUACUAUCUUCAUAGGUGAAAUAAUAAAGAGUACGAACAAACACUAAAAUAAUAUAUUUUCAAGGAAAAAAAUUCAUACAUAUAAACGAUGGCAUUUUCGCAAACAGGUAAUAGGCAUUGUACCAAACUUUUAAUAAAACUGAUGAUAAAGAAGACCAAAUGCCAAAUAGAUCAAAUAGAGUAUCAAGCACAAGAAGGAAACAGGGAAAAUAACUGUUCAAAAGCUAAAGGCAGUAAAAAAAAAAAAAUAAAAAACCCUAAAAAACCCUACCUCCAGAAUCAACUAAGAUCCAAGGAGAACCAACACCAACCUAAGCAACAAGUAGGAAACAAAUGAGGACAACAUCAACAGAGAUCUUCACCUGAUGGAGAUGAAAAUCAGUAAUCAAGAUAAAGAAAGAGCUCACCAAACACGAUAAUGCAAGUCACAGGGACGCGAGAGAAAGAGCCC